ensembl:lncRNA
UAAGCAGUUUCACCUGGAGCACCAUGGAUGACUCCAGGAGCCGCCAGAUGGAGGCCAUCUACCACCUGCUGGAGAGUUACAGGCUUGAGAAGUACUAUAAAGUAUUUCUAGAUAAAGGUGUCGCAGAUGAAAGGGACUUUAUUGACAGUGUAACUGAUGAGGAUCUGCAGGAAAUGGCCGGGGAAAACACAAACAUGAACCAUCUCUCUCUUGACUUCAAGCUGUAGAUGGGUCGUCUUCUAUGAAGGCCUGAGUCAAAUGGAGAAGAAUCGCUUUGACAAAAUGAAAGAUCAUAUGAGAAGGCUCAGAUCCCGGCCCGACCACUCGGCUGUCCAGAAGACAUUGGAGGAAUUCUGCCUUCAAUACACGUUCCCUCAGUGUCCUGAGCCAAGAAGUAUCCGAGACAUGGAUCCUGCACAGAACACAGUUGAUGAUUUAAUGCUGAGGAUUUGUCAUCUUGAAAACGUUGGCAACAGUAAAGGUGUCUGUCUGUACACGGUGGACGGAAUGCCCCUGACGGAUGACCCCUUCUUCAACACGUGGUCUUUAAAAGACAGACAUAUCAAUGACAAAGACAAACUGUAUGCUAUAUUCACACCAAGGCAGAACCUAGUCAACAGUAUUGUGAUGAGAAACCCGACAGUGGAAGAAACCCCAGGAGAGGAUACGGUUUGGUGUCACAUAAUGCUUAAGGGAAACUUUGAAAUAUCAGUAAACUUGAGGUCUGACACCAUUACCAAUUUGAAAGACAAAUUGUCAAAUGAAAGUGGAAUACCAGCACAUGCUCUACAUUACCAAGGGUACCACAGUGGUAGUGACGUUUUGCUUGAUUUGGGUAUUUCCGAAGACAGAGGUUCAAAGCUGAACUUUUCCUUGUCUUCGUUUCAUGAAGAGAUGCCAGACAAUGAUGCGAUGUUCAGUAAUGAUGUUGAACCCUCGGUCCAACAAAGCACUAAAGGACUGAGUGUGUUCCUCUCCUCACUUUAUUCUGUGGUAAUUUAUCAUAGUUUCUACAUUAAAAUCCUCACUUUUUAUUU